UCAGAUAGCGCCAGGUAGUCCGUCGUUAGUUGCCAUUGCAUGACUGCGUCGAUGCUGAAUUAACGUAACACGUAUGACACUUUAAGCUUCGAAACUCGAAAUGUACGGGAUAUGUACCAGGGAAAUGAUUCCACUUAAAUGCAAGAUUUAAAAUACAGACCAGCUAUAGUUUGUUUUUCAUAAAUUAUACCUAUAUACAUAACAAAAAAAUAAUUAUAAUUUCAACCUAUACAUAACAUCCUUCAAGCCAACGCAGCUUGCGUCAUACAGUUCACUACACUUCGUCUCGCAGGUUCCGAGCUCUGGAAACUCGAGGAAGUUUGUCUACUGUCCGGAAUCCUCCCCAAUCAUCCGAAACAUGACCUUUUCGGUAGGAAUAAUUUGAUGAAUGGCCCGCUGAACACGUAGGCGCGUUGUCGUGCAAGAUUCCAUUGAAGUUGCCGGAAGUUUUCAGCCAAACUCGAGUCUCCAUACUCCUCAACUGUUGUAAGACGUUCCUCUUACUCACUAAUUAUAUCCGAGGCUUAAACAGUUGUGAGUUUUCCUUUAACUUGAUUUCUUCGAUUCACUUAAUUUUAAUUCGCUCAAUUUGUCUUGAUUUGUAUUCAUCUCCUUACUUACGCAGCGGCGUUACACAGUUUCUUGAUAUUUGUUGCCAUACUUCUUAACAGUUGUAAGACGUUCCUCUUACUCGCUAUUAUAUCCGAGGCUUAAACAGUUGUGAGUUUCCCUUCAACUUGAUUUCUUCGAUUCACUUAAUUUUAAUUCGCUCAAUUUGUCUUGAUUUGUAUUCAUCUCCUUACUUAUGCAGCGGCGUUACACAGUUUCUUGAUACUUGUUGUCAUACUUCUCAACCGUUGUAAGACGUUCCUCUUACUCGCUAUUAUAUCCGAGGCUUAAACAGUUGUGAGUUUCCCUUUCCUACUUCUUUCUCUUACAUAUGCAUGUGGUGCGCACACAGAUUGUACACAUGCAUAUGCGACCUACAGUCUUACGCCGGUUCCGAACGGCAGUUGGAGAGAAGUUUUCAUGGCAUGGGAAUACUCUUGGUGGUUUGCCAGACCACCGAAGAGGAGCGACGAAUGUAUGUAUGAUAAAAUUUUUCUGGAUCUGCCGGGGAUUGAACCCGGGACUCCUAAGUAUGAUAGACUAGUGCGCUGCCUAUCAUGCCACGCUCGCGCUUACUCACUAUUAUAUCCGAGGAUUAAACAGUUAUGAGUUUCCCUUUAACUUGAUUUCUUCGAUUCACUUAAUUUUAUCCCUUUGCGCUCGAGCGAACCAGCAACUCGAGAGGAGUUAGCUGCUCCCGCUUAUUUCAUGAGUUUUUUUACAGUUAACUACUACAGUUAACUUAACAUGAUUUCUGACAUAAUAUAACACUUUAAACUUUUUUAUUUUAACAUUUCACAUAUCUUCAUAUUUCAAAAAAGACAUUUAUUAAACGUUACGUUCUAUAUUUUUGCUUCGUAUAGUAUUUUAUAAAACAAUCUCCAAGAUGCAUCCUUGGCUUGUCGGGGCAAGUGUCACAGUAGUAUACAGUUUGUUGCCUUUUGCCAGGAUUGGUUCGUUGGGAACAAACCUUGCAAUCUCUUUUACUUCCCAUUAGUACAACAUGGAGCUUCCCAUUCAAUCGGAUGUCUUCAGAACUGCUCUGCGAAGUAGAAGCUCGCGGUCGUUUUUGCCGGAAAUCUCCUCUCAAUUGAUCAACCAAAGUUUUCAAGUAUUGCAGGUGACUAAGUGGCCGUUCGUUUCUCUUUUUGAGAUAAGACAUCUCUGUAGCCAUUACCUCAUAAGAUUACACACAAAGGGCUAGGAGUAAACUCGUGAAGCGAUGUUCGUUAGGCCAAAUCUAAAGAAACACUGUUACCGCUCGAUUUGCCGCCUCGAUCCGAGUGGUGCCUGAGAGGCACCUCUCGAGCGCAAUUAGUUAAUUCGCUCAAUUUGUCUUGAUUUGCAUCUCCUUACUUAUGCAGCGGCGUUACACGGUUUCUUGAUAUUUACGCUUUCCCGAAUCAAAUAUAAUCAUUUCUUCUGGUUGUGGCUGAGUAGGAGCGCUGACAAUGGGUCUCCCAGGCUGUAGAACGUGAUAGGCGAAAAUUGGAUCACGUUCAAGAUUCGCAUAGAUUUCUCUUCGAUGAGACUUUGGAAUCUCCGUUAGAUUUCUCUCCAUGGCCCGUAGAUUUAUACAUCGUCCGACUAUAACGUUACGAUGCCAUUCAUAGCACGAUUCAGGGUUUUCCAAUAUCAUUCUUACUGUUGUAAAUCGGCGUGGAUCGAUGCGAGCUCUCAAACGUUUGUUCGACGACUCAGCGGUGGAAUCCGGCUCUUGAAAUUCGUCUUCCUGGGUCGUGUGAACUUCAGGUAUAUCCAUCUUGUGCGAAAUACUCAAAAUCCGGAUGCAGAUAGAGAAUUUCUGUUGAAGAUACUUCGAAUUUCCUCUUCAGCAAGUUUCGGUGAAAUUCUCCUUUCGAUGUUACGUCAAAUUUGUCCGAUAUCUCCCUGUCUUACUUCGCCAGUAUGUGUCAUUAACUUUCCACCUUGCUGUUGUGAGCCUUCUGACAGUACCAAAUUUCUACUUGUCAGGUAUACAGAUGGUACUUGAAUGACACGGGAAAAAGGGAAAGGGAAGGAAACCUUGGUUAACUGCAAUUUUCUAGAACAUACCCGAAUGUUCUGCUGAAUGCAACUGUGGCUGCUGAUUGGUCUUUUAGACCCCUUUACACUAAUCGCAUUGUCGAAUUAUUCAAACCUUGUGUUUUCCGGAUGCAGUCAAGGUGCAUCUAAAAACUAUAGCCACUCAAUGAACUCUUGUAUCGUUUGGCAUAUUCUUUUACGUCCAAAAAUUACGACUAAUAAUCCAUCGUUACACCGGCGACGGACAUCCUGCGAUUAGCUGUCAUUGGCUCUUUCUUAAUCUUAUCUCUCGUUUAUUCUUUAACCCUUAAAUGCAUAAUGUUGCAAAUUUGCAACAUAUUUAUUUUUCCUCUUUGUCGAGAUCAAAAGCACACCUAAACGUGGAAGACCAAAUUCUUCCUUAGAACGAAAUAUACAAUCCAAAAGGCACAAAGGCAAUGCUCAACAUAUGUCUCAGAUUUUUUUUACAUAUUUUUCCCAUUUUCUGGGACUACCUAUGAACCUAAAAAAAAAAAUUAUUCUGUAAUAAAAAAAAAUUCAUGCAUUUAAGGCUUAAUGUUAUAAAGAAUCCCCUAUGACCCACUUACUGGAACAGCUUCGGAACCAGCGAAUGUGCGUCAUUGGUAAGCGCAUUGUUCCUUCCGGCGGCAGCUGGCAUCGCCACCACUACCACCGUCACCAUCACCACCGCCACCAGGCGCGGAGAGUACAUCUUGCACCCUUCUUCUUCAUUAAAUAGCUCAAUAGGUAUCAUCCUCUCCUUGGUCUUUAACCGGACGACGUCUCUCGGCCAGCUGCUCUCCUCUCUCUCUCUCGCGAGAGGAAAUGGGAGAAAGAGAGAGAGAGGGAGGGGGGAGCGCCAGAUAGAGAUUCGUUUCUUUCAACGAUUUUAUUGUUUAGCAUAUGAAUGGAAUGCGCGAGCGUGCUCACGGUUGCACGGUAAACCCUUUGGCAUAUUACAAAGAAUUCAAUAAAGUUUAUAAGGAAGCCCGGAGGGAACCAGUCUCCGCCAGGUCGGAGAACGAGAGAACGAGGGAAGAAGAGAGAGAGAUAGAGAGAGAGAGACAGACAGACAGAGAGAGAGAGAGAGAGAGAGAAGCCUGGGCUUUCUUCUCUUCUCUCGCGGUUCUCGCCGUGAGAACGCAUGCGUCACGUGUGCGUAUACCUCUCAGACUGGACGGACACACAUCGAUUCGGGGCAAAACUACCCGGAGGGAAGGGAAACGUUUUUACUUUUCACGAGGGCCGAGGAGAGAAUGAGAGUUGCGAAUUUACGCAAUUCGACCAUACCGUCAAUUUCGUCAAUUUCGAUCACACUUCGAACACAGAGAACACACCGUUCUCCCUCCGAUCGGACCACAUUUUCCCGACCAACGAUCGCAAAUUUUCCUGUGUCCUCACCCCAUCGUAUCGCACUUUUAGAUCCCUCAACCGCCGUUUUAUCGCGCUUCCAGCUUCCCCCCGUUUCUUAUCUCCGAGCGAAGCGAGAUUGGAAGGAUCCCUCCUUCGGAACGGAAUCCUUCGCCAGGCUACCCUCGGGACUGGAUUCGGCGUUACCGCGACUUUGCGAGUGAUCGUGGAGGGGGGAGGCUAACAAGGCAGUCAGGGGACAUUAUAUUGCAAUUUCGUAAAACCAGGAGUGCGCAAAAGUCAAUAUUUUAUGAAGGCGUAAAAAUGUAUAAUGUGUUACCAAAAUAAAACAUUGUAAUCUAAUUAAUGUUUUUCGACGGCUACUAAAGAAAUAUAUUUGUAAUACAAAUAGCUGAGAAAGUUAAAUAAAGAUCAAUCAAUCAAUCAA